GUCAAUACAAUACAUACAACAUGAAUCCAGAAGAUUGAAGAUGAAACAUACCUGUCAUCUGUAGAGGGCCAGCUUUGGGGAGCUGGAGGGCUUAGGCCAGCCCGGGUCUUACCUGCAGCUUGUACCAAGCCUGACAGCUGUGAAACUCAGGAUGUCGGCUUACCACCCCCCUGUUCUGUCUCUUGAGAACAGGAUGCAGGAAGGGAGGAAACGGAUGUGGUAGAGGACAGGAUGCAGGAAAGAAUGUAACAGACAAGGUACAAGAAGUAAGGAAAUCACCUAAUUAGAUUCGUACUUUUCAUGAAUAACAAUGUUACUAUUGCUUAAUCCAGUACUAUAUAAGCCUGAGCCCUCAGAUGAAUAAACAGAGUUUGUUCUUCACUGCUCUCACCUUGCCCGUGUUUCUUUCUCUCUUCACACUCUGCCGGCAUCAGACCACAGCCGGGGAUGCAGGCGCUCCCGGCAUUUGGAGCCUAGACAGGGACCUGAAAGGAAGGCUUCCCCCGGCAAAGUGGCCCUGGACAAGGUGGGCUGUUUGGUCAACAGCACUAGAAAAGGAGCUCCGGUGGCCAAGAGAAGACGCUAACAAGGUUAUGCUUGUGUUUUUCCAGAACAUGCAGGAGAACCAGUCUGGGUUCCCGAGAGGAACAUCCGUACCUGUCAGCAUACUGACCAGAGGGAUAGAGACCCUGAGCAUCAAGGGAAAAACUGGUCGGAGAGACAAGCGGAGGAAGAAGACCACAGCCGGGGACGCAGGUGCUCCCAGCACUCAUCUCAGCCACAGAAAUGGUGAACUUAAAAAGAAGAAGAAAGGACGUUCACUUUUUGGUAAGGCCUAAG
rnacentral:lncRNA from 1 species